rnacentral:lncRNA from 1 species
UCACAGAAUAAUAAUAUUAAUAUAAAUAUUUGAAAUGAUUAAAGGAAUUCAUUUAAAGAUCAAAAAAUCAGAAGUAGUAAAUUUUCUAUAUUUUCGAUAGUAUAAUAGCUCCACUCACUCUCUCUCUCUCUCUCUCUCUCUCUCUCUCUCUCUCUCUCUAUAUAUAUAUAUAUAGUUUUGCUAGAAUACUCUCAAAAGCACCAAGGGGUUGGUGUUUUUGAGUUUUUAGCCAUUGGUCGAUGGAGAGAUGUAGAAUUGAGAUGAUGGUGGUAGGUGGUGGUAGGUGGAAUAGUGUUUCAUCCAAAGGUUAUUAGUAAUUAAGGAGCAGAUUCAAAGGUUAGAAACUCAAAAGCACCAAGGGGUUCUAGCUCAAUUAUAUAUAUAUAUAUAGAGUGCAGCUAAUAUGCUUCUGGAAGCACGGAGCGCUCCGUGCUUCCAAGUUUUUUCGAUGUUGGGACUUUCAAAUUGAUGAUCGGCUCCGAAAAACUUGAUCUAGAGUAUUUGAAGUAUCUAGAAAAUAAAUUUUGUGAUUUUUCGAUAUCAUUUGCCUAGUGAUCGAAGGGAAUCAAAAUCAAUUAAUUUUAAUGGUCGUAGUGAGCCGUUUGCAAGUUUAACGGUGUAGAAAUAUCCAAAUCACGUGAAAUUUUGAUAGAAAAUUCUUUAUACUAUAUAAAACAAGAUCAAUAUUUUUGAUCUAAAAUUUUAAUAUUAUAUUAUCACGUUUUGUACGAUUUUUAUUUUCAACCAUUGAUUUUAAGCCCUUUAGUUCACUAGGCAAAUGAUAUAAAAAAAUUGUAAAAUUUAUUUUCUAAAUACUUUGAAUACUCUAGAUCAAGUUUAACGGAGCCAAUCGACAAUUUGAAAGUCGCAGCAUCGAAAACGACCUAGAAGCACGAAAGGCUCCGUGCUUUCAGAAGCAUAGUAGCCCCACUCUCUCUCUCUCUCUCUCUCUCUCUCUCUCUCUCUCUCUCUCUCUCUCUAUAUAUAUAUAUAUAUAUAUAUAUAUAUAUAUAUAUAUAUACUAUUUAUAAAAGCGUGAGUUUUGAAUUUUUUCCCUUUCCAAAAUGUCUCUAUCUUUUUUACUAAUAUUGUCAUGUCCGGUAAUUUUCAACUAUCCAUUUUAAACAAAUCUUUAAAUAAGAAUUUAUUCUCAAAUAUAAAUCUUAAGUUUUCACCGUUUUAUCUCAUCCAACGAAUAAAAAUAAAAGUAUCUGUCAUUUUUGUUGACAAAAAUACCCUCCAUAUGCGUUAUCUCCUAUAUACACCGCAUUUUUUAAAUAUUUUUUUUCUAUCCACCAAUAAUGUAAUACGUAAAACUAAAUUUAUCUCUUAUCUAACGUAAUACCCACCAAUCACGUACUUCCGCUAAUCACGUAAUACGUAAAAUUAAAUUUAUUUGCUAUCCACGUGUUUUCUCAAAUAUUUUUUCUUCUCAAACAUAAUAUCUGCCAACACGUAGUAUUCAAAAUUAAAUUUUAAAUUUGUAAUUCCCACCAAAAUUUAAUACCCGCGAAUUUGAUAAUUUAAAUUUUAAUUUAUUAUAGUAGAUAUUUCCUUACAUAAGAUAGUAGAUUUAAUUUUGACGAGUAUUAAAAUUUGGCGCGUAAUAAAAGCGUUAAAUAUUGUUAAAAAAUUUUAAUACCUUCAAAUCAAAACUAAAUCAUUAAUUAAAUAUAAUUUGAAAUAUUUUUAGUAAAAUAUUUAUUAUUUAAAUAAUGCGUCAUAAAAGUGUAGAAUAUUUCUAAAAAAAAAAAUUAAUACCCGCCUAAUCAAAACUAAAUCGUUAAUUAAAUAUAAUUUUAAAUAUUUUUAGCAAAAUAUUCAAUGUUUAAAUAAUACCCACCAAAAUAUUCUCCGCAUUCUCAAAUAUAAAAUAUAUUUUAUCCAUUUUAAAUAAAUCUUCAAAUAAUAAUUUAUUCUCAAAUAUAGAUCUUAA